AGAGUUUGAUCCUGGCUCAGAUUGAACGCUAGCGGGAUGCUUUACACAUGCAAGUCGAACGGCAGCACGAGAGAGCUUGCUCUCUUGGUGGCGAGUGGCGGACGGGUGAGUAAUAUAUCGGAACGUGCCCAGUAGCGGGGGAUAACUACUCCAAAGAGUGGCUAAUACCGCAUACGCCCUACGGGGGAAAGGGGGGGAUCGCAAGACCUCUCACUAUUGGAGCGGCCGAUAUCGGAUUAGCUAGUUGGUGGGGUAAAGGCUCACCAAGGCAACGAUCCGUAGCUGGUUUGAGAGGACGACCAGCCACACUGGGACUGAGACACGGCCCACACUCCUACGGGAGGCAGCAGUGGGGAAUUUUGGACAAUGGGGGAAACCCUGAUCCAGCCAUCCCGCGUGUAUGAUGAAGGCCUUCGGGUUGUAAAGUACUUUUGGCAGAGAAGAAAAGGCAUCCCCUAAUACGGGAUGCUGCUGACGGUAUCUGCAGAAUAAGCACCGGCUAACUACGUGCCACCAGCCGCGGUAAUACGUAGGGUGCAAGCGUUAAUCGGAAUCCUGGGGGUAAAGAGUGUGUGGGGGGGUCGGAGAAAGAAAGAUGAAAUCCCAGAGGUCUAACCUUGGGACUGCAUUUUUAACUUCCGGUGUAGGGUAUGUCAGGAGGGGGGAGGAUUUCACGGGUAGCAAUGAAAUUGGUAGAUAUUGGGAGGAAUACCGUGGGCGAAGGCAGCCCCCUGGGAUAAUACUGACGCUCAGACACGAAAGCGUGGGGAGCAAACAGGAUUAGAUACCCUGGUAGUCCACGCCCUAAACGAUGUCAACUAGCUGUUGGGGCCGUUAGGCCUUAGUAGCGCAGCUAACGCGUGAAGUUGACCGCCUGGGGAGUACGGUCGCAAGAUUAAAACUCAAAGGAAUUGACGGGGACCCGCACAAGCGGUGGAUGAUGUGGAUUAAUUGGAUGCAACGCGAAAAACCUUACCUACCCUUGACAUGUCUGGAAUGCCGAAGAGAUUUGGCAGUGCUCGCAAGAGAACCGGAACACAGGUGCUGCAUGGCUGUCGUCAGCUCGUGUCGUGAGAUGUUGGGUUAAGUCCCGCAACGAGCGCAACCCUUGUCAUUAGUUGCUACGCAAGAGCACUCUAAUGAGACUGCCGGUGACAAACCGGAGGAAGGUGGGGAUGACGUCAAGUCCUCAUGGCCCUUAUGGGUAGGGCUUCACACGUCAUACAAUGGUCGGGACAGAGGGUCGCCAACCCGCGAGGGGGAGCCAAUCUCAGAAACCCGAUCGUAGUCCGGAUCGCAGUCUGCAACUCGACUGCGUGAAGUCGGAAUCGCUAGUAAUCGCGGAUCAGAGUGUCGCGGUGAAUACGUUCCCGGGUCUUGCACUCACCGCCCGUCA
rnacentral:rRNA from 1 species